GCCCCUGUAGUUCAAUGGUAGAACAGCCGCCUUAUACCCGGUUUAGCGCCUGAUUAGCGCAAGGUUGCAGGUUCGAAUCCUGCCAGGGGUA
rnacentral:tRNA from 1 species